AUAUAGUAAGGGAUAACAGUUGGAAACGACUGCUAAUACCAUAUACGCCCUUAGGGGGAAAGAUUUAUCGCUAUAUGAUGAGCCCGCGUAAGAUUAGCUAGUUGGUGAGGUAAUGGCUCACCAAGGCUACGAUCUUUAGCUGGUCUGAGAGGAUGAUCAGCCACACUGGAACUGAGACACGGUCCAGACUCCUACGGGAGGCAGCAGUGGGGAAUAUUGGACAAUGGGCGCAAGCCUGAUCCAGCCAUGCCGCGUGAAUGAUGAAGGCCUUAGGGUUGUAAAGUUCUUUCGCUAUCGAGGAUAAUGACUGUAGAUAGAUAAGAAGCCCCGGCUAACUUCGUGCCAGCAGCCGCGGUAAUACGAAGGGGGCUAGCGUUGUUCGGAAUCACUGGGCGUAAAGCGCGCGUAGGCGGCUAUUCAAGUCAGAGGUGAAAUCCCAGAGCUCAACUUUGGAACUGCCUUUGAAACUGUAUAGCUGGAGUGUUGGAGGGGAUAGCGGAAUUCCUAGUGUAGAGGUGAAAUUCGUAGAUACUAGGAGGAACACCGGUGGCGAAGGCGGCUAUCUGGACAACAACUGACGCUGAGGCGCGAAAGCGUGGGUAUCAAACAGGAUUAGAUACCCUGGUAGUCCACGCUGUAAACGAUGAGUGCUAGCUGUCGGGCCCUUAGGGUUCGGUGGCGCUGCUAACGCAUUAAGCACUCCGCCUGGGGAGUACGGUCGCAAGAUUAAAACUCAAAGGAAUUGACGGGGACCCGCACAAGCG
rnacentral:rRNA from 1 species